UGAAACACGGACCAAGGAGUCUAGCAUGUGCGCGAGUCAUUGGGAACAACUAAACCUAAAGGCGCAAUGAAAGUGAAGGUUCGCCUCGCGCGGACAUAGGGAAGAUGGGCGUGUCGCGUCUCAACGCGCCGCCCCGCACUCCCGGGGCGUCUCGUUCUCAUUGCGAGAAGAGGCGCACCAAGAGCGUACACGCUGGGACCCGAAAGAUGGUGAACUAUGCCUGGUCAGGACGAAGUCAGGGGAAACCCUGAUGGAGGUCCGUAGCGAUUCUGACGUGCAAAUCGAUCGUCGGAACUGGGUAUAGGGGCGAAAGACUAAUCGAACCAUCUAGUAGCUGGUUCCCUCCGAAGUUUCCCUCAGGAUAGCUGGCGCUCGUCGCCUACGAGUCUCAUCCGGUAAAGCGAAUGAUUAGAGGCAUUGGGGUCGAAACGGCCUCAACCUAUUCUCAAACUUUAAAUGGGUGAGAUCUCCGGCUUGCUCGAACUACUGAAGCCGCGAGACACGGAUCAGAGUGCCAAGUGGGCCAUUUUUGGUAAGCAGAACUGGCGCUGUGGGAUGAACCAAACGCCGAGUUAAAGCGCCUAAAUCGACGCUUAUGGGAUACCAUGAAAGGCGUUGGUAACUUAAGACAGCAGGACGGUGGCCAUGGAAGUCGGAAUCCG
rnacentral:rRNA from 1 species